rnacentral:rRNA from 1 species
UCCAGACUCCUACGGGAGGCAGCAGUGGGGAAUAUUGCACAAUGGGGGAAACCCUGAUGCAGCGACGCCGCGUGAGUGAAGAAGUAUUUCGGUAUGUAAAGCUCUAUCAGCAGGGAAGAAAUAGCGACCUUUGGGUCGCCAGACGGUACCUGAUUAAGAAGCCCCGGCUAACUACGUGCCAGCAGCCGCGGUAAUACGUAGGGGGCAAGCGUUAUCCGGAUUUAUUGGGUUUAAAGGGUGCGUAGGCGGGAUGCCAAGUCAGCGGUAAAAAUGCGGUGCUCAACGCCGUCGAGCCGUUGAAACUGGCGUUCUUGAGUGGGCGAGAAGUAUGCGGAAUGCGUGGUGUAGCGGUGAAAUGCAUAGAUAUCACGCAGAACUCCGAUUGCGAAGGCAGCAUACCGGCGCCCAACUGACGCUCAGGCACGAAAGCGUGGGUAUCGAACAGGAUUAGAUACCCUAGUA